UGAAAGUAUCUUACCAUGACAUUUAGAAAUUAUAAUUAUAUUUUAAUAAGUGUCUUUUCCAAUGAAAAUAACUUAUUUUUUCACAAACACAAUUUGUUUUCAUGCCAGUGUAUAUGAAGUAUGCAUUAAUCUUAACAUUUCUAUGUUACAGGUAUUUUUUGCUUUAAUGCUGACACCUCUUUUUAAAAAGUCAAAACAUGUGGGAAUAGUUGAAUUUUUUGUCACUGUGGCGUUUGGAUUUGUUGGCCUUUUGAUAGUCCUCAUGGAAAGUUUUCCCAAAUCAUUAGUGUGGCUUUUCAGUCCUUUUUGUCAGUGUACUUUUUUGAUUGGUAUUGCACAGGUCAUGCAUUUGGAAGAUUUUGAUGAAGGUGCUUUGUUUUCUAAUUUGACUGAAGGCCCAUAUCCUCUAAUUAUUACUGUUAUCAUGCUGGCACUUAAUAGUAUUUUCUAUGUUCUCCUGGCUGUCUAUCUCGAUCAGGUCAUUCCAGGGGAAUUUGGCUUACGGAGAUCAUCUUUAUAUUUUCUAAAACCAUCAUAUUGGUCAAAAAACAAAAGAAAUUAUAAGGAGUUAUCAGAAGGCAAUGUUAAUGGGAGUAUUAGUGUUAGUGAAAUUGUUGAGCCUAUUUCUUCAGAAUUUAUAGGCAAAGAAGCCAUAAGGUAUGAUUUAAUCUUUGGCAGUUUAGGUAUAAAAGCUGUGAUGGAAACUACCACAUUUAAAUUGUUUUUGAUAUGUUUGUAAGUAUGGUAUCUUAGAUUUGGUAGAUAAGUAUUUUUUUAAAAUGUAGUGUUAGUGUAGGCU
rnacentral:lncRNA from 1 species